AUUGAACGCUGGCGGCAGGCCUAACACAUGCAAGUCGAACGGUAACAGGAAGCAGCUUGCUGCUUUGCUGACGAGUGGCGGACGGGUGAGUAAUGUCUGGGAAACUGCCUGAUGGAGGGGGAUAACUACUGGAAACGGUAGCUAAUACCGCAUAACGUCGCAAGACCAAAGAGGGGGACCUUCGGGCCUCUUGCCAUCGGAUGUGCCCAGAUGGGAUUAGCUAGUAGGUGGGGUAACGGCUCACCUAGGCGACGAUCCCUAGCUGGUCUGAGAGGAUGACCAGCCACACUGGAACUGAGACACGGUCCAGACUCCUACGGGAGGCAGCAGUAGGGAAUAUUGCACAAUGGGCGCAAGCCUGAUGCAGCCAUGCCGCGUGUAUGAAGAAGGCCUUCGGGUUGUAAAGUACUUUCAGCGGGGAGGAAGGGAGUAAAGUUAAUACCUUUGCUCAUUGACGUUACCCGCAGAGGAAGCACCGGCUAACUCCGUG
rnacentral:rRNA from 1 species